rnacentral:rRNA from 1 species
AUUGAACGCUGGCGGCAGGCCUAACACAUGCAAGUCGAGCGGAGUGAGGGACGGGUGAGUGAUUACUAGGAAUCUACCUGGUAGUGGGGGAUGACGUCCGGCAACGGGCGCUGAUCCCGCAUACUAUCGGAUGAGGCGAGGGAGUAUUAGCUAGGUGGUGGGGUACAGGCCUACCAAGGCGACGAUCCGGAACGGGUCUGCGAGGAUGAUCAGUUAAACGGGAACUGAGACACGGUCCGACGUCCUACGGGAGGCAGCAGUGGGGAAGAGUGGACAAUGGGAGAAAGCCUGAUCGAGCCAUGCCGCGUGGGUGAAGAAGGGCUGCGGAUUGUAAGGCACUAUAAGUUUGGAGGCGUUACCAGCAGAAGAAGCACCGGCUAACUUCGUGCCAGCAGCCGCGGUAAUUC